CAAAGAUAAUAUUUUAUUCAAGUUCCCAAAACAAACUUGAGGAGUUACAUUGGGUUUGAAUUCAAUAAAAAAGGCCAAGUUAAAAUAUGAAAAGAAAUGGUUUUCAUUUGGUGGGAGCUGAAAUCAAAGUAUGCAUUUGUAUACAUUCUCCUCAAUCAUCUGUCUCAUGUUUUUAAGGGUCUACCAGGCCAAACCCUUCUCUGCCUUCACUGCAUUUGGUUUGCUUUUCCCCUUUCUUUUAUCUUGCUUUGCCUUUGUCCUUUUUCUUUGCCUUUGGUUAAUCCAUAUUGGGUACUGUCCAUUCUGGUCUAGAAGUCUUUUUGUUUCUCUUAAUCUCAGUUUCCAUUUUCAUGUCCUCUUUUUCAUCUUUUAGCUGACAGUGCAUUUUCU
rnacentral:lncRNA from 10 species